rnacentral:piRNA from 1 species
UUUGCAAUGUGCACCCCUGCCA